UUUAAACAAAUGAAUGACUACGAAAAUUUACAGCGUGCAAAUUGGUGUUCUGUGGCGUGCAACGUGAACGUGGUAUUGUUGUUUUGUGUAGCAUUGGUGCGAAAGUGAUUCACAAUUAUGCCAAGCAAAGGGGUGGGACAAAGUCAGAAGCAUCGUAACCAAGCUAUCAAAUUAUUUCACGCUGUUAAAAAUAAAUACUGCACCAAAGAUUUUUUGUUGUCUGUACUAUUUGAUCCGAAGAGAUUGCCGGUUGUGGGUUUAUUGCUAAUUGUCGCUGAAAUUUUUGUGAAUAUUGUGGUUAUACACACAGUUAGAUAUACAGAAAUAGAUUGGGUAGCGUACAUGCAGGAAGUUGAGGGAGUCGCAAAUGGUACACUGGAUUAUACUUACCUGAAGGGAGAUACAGGACCUCUUGUUUACCCAGCUGGAUUUGUAUACAUAUUUAUGUUACUCUAUUAUAUUACAGAGCACGGUCAAAACAUUAGGCUAGCUCAAUAUAUAUUCGCGUUAUUCUACAUUAUACUGUUGUGUUUAGUGUUUAGAAUUUAUUACAAGAGUCAAAAAGUGCCACCAUAUGUGCUAAUUUUAGUAUGCUGUACAUCUUACAGAAUCCACUCAAUUUUUGUCCUUCGUUUAUUUAAUGACCCAGUUGCUAUGAUAUUAUUGUAUGGUUCGCUGAACUACUUCUUGGACAACAGAUGGACUGUUGGUAGUAUUUUUUAUAGCCUGGCCGUGUCUGUCAAGAUGAAUAUUCUACUCUUUGCACCAGCAUUACUUGUAGGAUAUUUGACAUCUCUUGGUGUCCGAGGCACAAUAGUUCAGCUUUUUAUAUGUGCUUCUGUACAAAUAAUUCUUGGUCUUCCAUUUAUAUUGACUAAUCCAUUUGCUUACGUAAAGGGUGCUUUCAAUCUUGGCCGUGUAUUUCUUUUUGAGUGGACAGUUAACUGGAGAUUUUUGCCAGAAAAUAUUUUCAUUAGUCCAUACUUUCAUAUAUCACUCUUGAUGUUGCAUAUUGCACUUCUAGCAUAUUUUUAUGAUAUAUCGCUAGUGUACCUUCGUAGCUAUGCUAGCCUGAAAGCACUUGAAAAUGACAUCCAACCUCAUCUGAAGAAACAUAAAGAAAAGAUAGAUAUGAAGACUGUUUCUCAGUUGUUUCUGCUUCCAAUGUUCACUUCAAAUUUUAUUGGUAUAAUGUGUAGUCGUUCAUUGCACUAUCAGUUUUAUGUGUGGUAUUUCCACUCAUUGCCUUACUUGUUGUGGUCUACACCUUUUUCUGAUGUUUGGAGAUUAUGCAUUUUAGGUGUUAUUGAAUUAUGUUGGAACACUUUCCCAUCAACAGCUGUAAGUAGUGUGCUGCUGCAUUUGUGUCAUAUAUGCAUUUUAUAUGGACUUCAAAGAAACAAAGUGCUGAGGAACCAGGCAACAGCAAAAACAAAAUAAUCAUCACAGAUUUUAAUGUGCAAUAUAAUAUCAUGUCACAGGCAAGGAAGAUACAGGGAUUGUUUUUCUCUAUCUGCCCAACUCUCAGCCUGGAUGUUCGAGUCUUAAACGGCUUUAACCUUGUACUGUGUUACUGAAUACCAAAGACUUUAACUACUGAAGAAAAUUCCUACUGAGUUGAAUGCUGCUGUCUGUUUUUUCACCUGCUAAAACCAGAAAUAUUUACUUUACCUCUGUUUUAUUGCUUGUAUUUAAAUUUUUGUGGUAGUUUUAAUGUUUUUGUUUUAAUUUCUAACUAAUUUGAUUAUUAAUGUAUAACAAUCAAAAUAUUUUACCUACUAUUGUGUUCCAUGUUCUGUAGAAAUGAAAUUGAACUUUGAAUGCUGCUGAAUUUCUCAGGUUCUUUUUUAACAUGAAAUCUUAAUUGAACCUAAGUGGGAUAUCGUUUUCUAUAAGUCUUGUUUUGUUCAUUGUUUGUGAUUUCAUUUAUCUUUAAAAACAAUGUGUCUAUUCCUUUUUUGAAAUUUUUGUUUCUGUGAUUUAUGCAUAACCGAAACUACAAGGCACUGCAGUUUCUGAUAGGAGAAAGCAUAUUUUUGUGAUAUGUGAAUAUACAUGUAAAAUAAUAUUUGAGUCAUUUUUUUCUGUUUCAAAAUGAUGAUCUAUGGACCAUUUUUGCUGGUUGAAACAAUAAGGAAAUUACUUGAAAUUGUCAAGGUUUAGUUGAAUUGUGGAGACAGUUCACAUAUUAUGCCACUAGACUGAUACAUUGGUGGAAAAUUUCCUAUGUGUGUACCCAAGAAACAUUAUCUCAAAAUAAUUGUUGCAUACAGAGGUUACAUAUAAAACAUGUAAUAGUUUGUAUUCUUAUUGUCAUUUGGAAGCAUAUUCAUUUUAUAUUGCAUUUUACAAAAUGACAGUUUUGUAAGAAUACUAUUGUGUCUUCAACAAGUCAUAAUGUUAAAUAAUAGCCCUUUGAUUAAAAUGAGUGAUCAACAUGUCCAUAAAUGUGGAGAGUACCUAUUUUUAUAGUGGUGCUUUGUUUAUUAGUUACUGCAUCACAUUUUGUAUCACAUGUUGAAUUUUGUAUUGUAUGGAGUGUUUUAUCUAGUCUUGAAUGAUUAUAUACCAAUAAAUUUCAAAAAUUAAAGAA